AUACUUACCUGGCAGGGGAGAACUAUGAUCAUGAAGGUGGUUUCUCCAGGGCGGGGCUCAUCCAUUGCACUUCGAGAGUGCUGACCCCUACAAUUUCCCCAAAUGUGGGAAACUCAACUGCCUAGUUGGUGGUGGUGAGGGAUUGUGUUUGUACUCUCCCCUG